CGGGGCGUAGCGCAGCCUGGCUAGCGCAUCUGCUUUGGGAGCAGAGGGUCGGGGGUUCGAAUCCCUCCGCCCCGACCA
rnacentral:tRNA from 5 species